UCUACGGGAGGCAGCAGUGGGGAAUAUUGCACAAUGGGGGGAACCCUGAUGCAGCGACGCCGCGUGACGGAAGAAGUAUUUCGGUAUGUAAAGCUCUAUCAGCAGGGAAGAAAAUGACGGUACCAGACUAAGAAGCCCCGGCUAACUACGUGCCAGCAGCCGCGGUAAUACGGAGGGGGCAAGCGUAAUCCGGAUUUACUGGGUGUAAAGGGAGGGUAGACGGGGCAGCCAGUCUGAUGUGAAAGGUAGGGGGCCAACCCCGGGACAGCAUUGGAAACUGUUGAACUGGAGUACAGGAGAGGUAAGCGGAAUUCCUAGUGUAGCGGUGAAAUGCGGAGAUAGUAGGAGGAACUCCAGUGGCGAAGGCGGCUUACUGGACUGUAACUGACGUUGAGGCUCGAAAGCGUGGGGAGCAAACAGGAUUAGAUACCCGUGUAGUC
rnacentral:rRNA from 1 species